CAUCGCUUGACGGAGCGCGAGUAAAUUCUCGCUGAGAUCAUUCAAAUAUUCAAUUUUAGAUUAUUUGAGGAUGAGUACCGUUGAACCUGAUCAGGUUAAUACCUGCGUAGGAAUCAAGCCAUCUAAAAAC
rnacentral:ncRNA from 2 species